GGGUUGUGAGGUUAAGCGACUAAGCGUACACGGUGGAUGCCCUGGCAGUCAGAGGCGAUGAAGGACGUGCUAAUCUGCGAUAAGCGUCGGUAAGGUGAUAUGAACCGUUAUAACCGGCGAUUUCCGAAUGGGGAAACCCAGUGUGAUUCGUCACACUAUCAUUAACUGAAUCCAUAGGUUAAUGAGGCGAACCGGGGGAACUGAAACAUCUAAGUACCCCGAGGAAAAGAAAUCAACCGAGAUUCCCCCAGUAGCGGCGAGCGAACGGGGAGGAGCCCAGAGCCUGAAUCAGUGUGUGUGUUAGUGGAAGCGUCUGGAAAGGCGCGCGAUACAGGGUGACAGCCCCGUACACAAAAAUACACAUAUUGUGAGCUCGAUGAGUAGGGCGGGACACGUGGUAUCCUGUCUGAAUAUGGGGGGACCAUCCUCCAAGGCUAAAUACUCCUGACUGACCGAUAGUGAACCAGUACCGUGAGGGAAAGGCGAAAAGAACCCCGGCGAGGGGAGUGAAAAAGAACCUGAAACCGUGUACGUACAAGCAGUGGGAGCACGCUUAGGCGUGUGACUGCGUACCUUUUGUAUAAUGGGUCAGCGACUUAUAUUCUGUAGCAAGGUUAACCGAAUAGGGGAGCCGAAGGGAAACCGAGUCUUAACUGGGCGUUAAGUUGCAGGGUAUAGACCCGAAACCCGGUGAUCUAGCCAUGGGCAGGUUGAAGGUUGGGUAACACUAACUGGAGGACCGAACCGACUAAUGUUGAAAAAUUAGCGGAUGACUUGUGGCUGGGGGUGAAAGGCCAAUCAAACCGGGAGAUAGCUGGUUCUCCCCGAAAGCUAUUUAGGUAGCGCCUCGUGAAUUCAUCUCCGGGGGUAGAGCACUGUUUCGGCAAGGGGGUCAUCCCGACUUACCAACCCGAUGCAAACUGCGAAUACCGGAGAAUGUUAUCACGGGAGACACACGGCGGGUGCUAACGUCCGUCGUGAAGAGGGAAACAACCCAGACCGCCAGCUAAGGUCCCAAAGUCAUGGUUAAGUGGGAAACGAUGUGGGAAGGCCCAGACAGCCAGGAUGUUGGCUUAGAAGCAGCCAUCAUUUAAAGAAAGCGUAAUAGCUCACUGGUCGAGUCGGCCUGCGCGGAAGAUGUAACGGGGCUAAACCAUGCACCGAAGCUGCGGCAGCGACGCUUAUGCGUUGUUGGGUAGGGGAGCGUUCUGUAAGCCUGUGAAGGUGUGCUGUGAGGCAUGCUGGAGGUAUCAGAAGUGCGAAUGCUGACAUAAGUAACGAUAAAGCGGGUGAAAAGCCCGCUCGCCGGAAGACCAAGGGUUCCUGUCCAACGUUAAUCGGGGCAGGGUGAGUCGACCCCUAAGGCGAGGCCGAAAGGCGUAGUCGAUGGGAAACAGGUUAAUAUUCCUGUACUUGGUGUUACUGCGAAGGGGGGACGGAGAAGGCUAUGUUGGCCGGGCGACGGUUGUCCCGGUUUAAGCGUGUAGGCUGGUUUUCCAGGCAAAUCCGGAAAAUCAAGGCUGAGGCGUGAUGACGAGGCACUACGGUGCUGAAGCAACAAAUGCCCUGCUUCCAGGAAAAGCCUCUAAGCAUCAGGUAACAUCAAAUCGUACCCCAAACCGACACAGGUGGUCAGGUAGAGAAUACCAAGGCGCUUGAGAGAACUCGGGUGAAGGAACUAGGCAAAAUGGUGCCGUAACUUCGGGAGAAGGCACGCUGAUAUGUAGGUGAAGUCCCUCGCGGAUGGAGCUGAAAUCAGUCGAAGAUACCAGCUGGCUGCAACUGUUUAUUAAAAACACAGCACUGUGCAAACACGAAAGUGGACGUAUACGGUGUGACGCCUGCCCGGUGCCGGAAGGUUAAUUGAUGGGGUUAGCGCAAGCGAAGCUCUUGAUCGAAGCCCCGGUAAACGGCGGCCGUAACUAUAACGGUCCUAAGGUAGCGAAAUUCCUUGUCGGGUAAGUUCCGACCUGCACGAAUGGCGUAAUGAUGGCCAGGCUGUCUCCACCCGAGACUCAGUGAAAUUGAACUCGCUGUGAAGAUGCAGUGUACCCGCGGCAAGACGGAAAGACCCCGUGAACCUUUACUAUAGCUUGACACUGAACAUUGAGCCUUGAUGUGUAGGAUAGGUGGGAGGCUUGGAAGUGCGGACGCCAGUCUGCAUGGAGCCGACCUUGAAAUACCACCCUUUAAUGUUUGAUGUUCUAACGUUGACCCGUAAUCCGGGUUGCGGACAGUGUCUGGUGGGUAGUUUGACUGGGGCGGUCUCCUCCUAAAGAGUAACGGAGGAGCACGAAGGUUGGCUAAUCCUGGUCGGACAUCAGGAGGUUAGUGCAAUGGCAUAAGCCAGCUUGACUGCGAGCGUGACGGCGCGAGCAGGUGCGAAAGCAGGUCAUAGUGAUCCGGUGGUUCUGAAUGGAAGGGCCAUCGCUCAACGGAUAAAAGGUACUCCGGGGAUAACAGGCUGAUACCGCCCAAGAGUUCAUAUCGACGGCGGUGUUUGGCACCUCGAUGUCGGCUCAUCACAUCCUGGGGCUGAAGUAGGUCCCAAGGGUAUGGCUGUUCGCCAUUUAAAGUGGUACGCGAGCUGGGUUUAGAACGUCGUGAGACAGUUCGGUCCCUAUCUGCCGUGGGCGCUGGAGAACUGAGGGGGGCUGCUCCUAGUACGAGAGGACCGGAGUGGACGCAUCACUGGUGUUCGGGUUGUCAUGCCAAUGGCACUGCCCGGUAGCUAAAUGCGGAAGAGAUAAGUGCUGAAAGCAUCUAAGCACGAAACUUGCCCCGAGAUGAGUUCUCCCUGACCCUUUAAGGGUCCUGAAGGAACGUUGAAGACGACGACGUUGAUAGGCCGGGUGUGUAAGCGCAGCGAUGCGUUGAGCUAACCGGUACUAAUGAACCGUGAGGCUUAACCUUACAACGCCGAAGCUGUU
rnacentral:rRNA from 1 species